UUGCAUUAUGAUUGGGGAUGGAGUAUAAUACAGUUAUUCGUCCUCGAUGACGAUAUUUUUAGGAGGUUGUUCACUUGAAAGGUACAGUUAAAUGGUUCAACGCAGAAAAAGGCUACGGAUUCAUUCAAGUUGAAGGUGGCGAAGACGUAUUCGUACACUUCUCCGCAAUCCAAGGCGACGGUUUCAAAACUUUGGACGAAGGUCAAGAAGUUGAAUUCGAAAUCACUGAAGGCAACCGUGGCCCUCAAGCCGCUAACGUAAUCAAAUUAUAAGAAAGUCUCCGCGUCUAAGCGGAUAACUUAUAAAGUUUAGGUUUCGGCACAUGACAAAGGCACAGCUCCUCGCGGGCUGUGUCUUUUU
rnacentral:sRNA from 1 species